UUGACAGUUGAUGACAGAUAUAAGUACUGCUGGUGUUGAUUAUAUUUUAUGGUGCUUUUAACUGUGUCUGGAAGUCUGAUGUCAAU